GUGUGUGUGUGUGUGUGUGUGUGUGUGUGUGUGUGUGUGUGUGUGUGUGUGUGUGUGUGUGUGUGUGUGUGUGUGUGUGUGUGUGUGUGUUUGUCAUUAUUACAUUGUGUGGCCAUGCAUCAGACAGCCCAGUCACGCCGUGGGGUCCAAUUUUUUUGUGGGGUCCAAAACCCUGGACCCCACAAAUUUUACCUCAUAUUCAUUAUAAUUAAGGUCAGAACUAUGCCCUGUGAAGUUUUCAGGGUUGUCCCCAAAAAUCACUUUUACCGACUUAGUGUGUAUAAGUGUGCUAACAGGAGGUAACUCAGUAUCAGCCACUACUGGCCAAGGCAGGUACUGCAUCCCACACACACAUUCCAUUCUCCACACACACUUUGCUGAACUGCGCAUGUGCAAGCAGCCAUCUUCCAACAUAUUGAGCUGUUUGAUUAGCUGGUAGCACUUAGCUCCUUAGCUUAGUGUCUUUAAUGAAAUACAGAAUUAAAAACACAAAUAUAUACAUUUUUGGUGAGUUUGACUUGUGUUGUCACAAUAACAAGCAAUGAAUCAUUAAUCAUUAAUUAUGUAAAUAACAAAUAUAAAAAGAUUUGAGAGAUUACAGACUACAGCUGUUGUUAGCAUAAAUGCUAACUUAACAUUGAAAAUGCCAUAGACAAGCUAAACGUUAGCAUACAUGCUAACUUUACAUUGAAAUCGGCUUAGACAAGCUAACCGUUAGCAUAAAUGCUAACUUAACAUUGAAAACGCCAUAGACAAGCUAAACAUUUGCAAAAUGCUAAAAUAUUAUGUUCUAAGAGUGCUCAGAUCUUGUGCUUGAGUAAAAGAUUACUCAGAUAUUGCACUUGUCACCUUUUUCAUACCUGAUGAGUUUACAUCCCUGUAUAUAUAUAUAUAUAAAAUACAAAUAAAAAUGUUCUUAAUAUUAGCCUUGUUUUAAUGGUCAGAUUGGGUCACCUUGAUUUAAUAUUGGGACAUUCCUGGUGGGCGGAGACAGGAAUUCUCAUUGUGAUAGCAUGACCACCCUUACAGGAUGUGCUGACUCUUUAAAACAAGCGCUCCAUAUGAGGACAGAACCACGUGAAUUUCGUUUUGCACUUCACUGGCAGUGGGAUCGUAGCUAAAAAGGUGAGUUAUUAUUUUAAAGGCACAUAUGUUACUGAACAUUAACCAGGUAGCUUACAUUCAGACUAUGAAAAUGUGUUUGCAUGCUUUAAAAUGUAGCAAUCAACAUGAAGUAACUCAGUAAAAAACAGUUAUAGCAACAGGUUUUGUAUAUUAAUAAUUUCACUUUGGAGAGAUUGCUACCUCAUGUUAGCAGGCUAGCUAACGUUAGCUAACGUUGCUAGCAUUGAAACACCUGCUUAGUCUGCUUCAAUCUAGGGCUGCUCAAUUAAUCGUAUUUUAAUCGCAAUUACGAUUAUGGCUUGCAACGAUUACGAAAACAAUGUAAUUGAAAUAAAACGAUUAUAUUUUUAUUUAUUUUUUUGGAAAUUAUUUUUUUAUUGGUUUUUCAGUUGAAUUGUAAUUACAGUUCAGGGUAAUCAACUGUUAGAACAUACUGUUCACAUUUUUUUUCUCCAAUAAAUUGAUGUUUUCAAGGUAAAUGGAUAAUCGUUUUUAAUAAUGGUGAUAUCAAUUAUUGACCCAAAUAAUCGAGAUUAUGAUUUUUGCCAUAAUCGAGCAGCCCUACUUCAAUCCAUCAACUAGAUGUAGUUGUCUAAUACUUAAAGUAUUUGAAUGAAUUGCAAUAAUUAUGGUGGUGUCUGGUCACAUUAACGCUUCAUUGUUUUUGAUUAUAGGAUACACUAUGGCGGGACUGAGACGCAGGAAACCCCCCCUCAAGGAUGCGAUCGAACAUGCAAGCGAGGCAGUUGACAAGACUGCAAAAUUGGAAGUGAUGUACAUCAACUCUUUUAAAGGUCGAGGGGUCUUUGCCACUUCUCAUUUCCAAAAAGGAGACUUUGUGGUGGAGUACAGAGGGGAAUUAAUACAUUCUGAAGAAUCACAAAAGAGGAGGAGGAUAUAUCAUGUCAGCUGUGCUGUCUUUAUGUUUGACUUCUACUGGCAAGAAAGAACAUGGUGUGUUGAUGCUGCACAAGAAGAUUCCAGUCUAGGAAGAUUAGUCAAUGAUGACCACAAACAUCCAAACUGCAAAAUGAAGAAGGUCAUGGCAGAGAACAAGCCACACCUCUGUCUCUUUGCUCUUCGAGACAUUAAUCCUGGAGAAGAGAUAAUAUACGAUUACGGAGGAACUGAUUGGCCUUGGAGAAAACAGGUUGGAGAGCCAGCUACUGCCAUCGAGUCUUCUGAGGCUGAGAUCCCCAGUACGAGUGAGCCAGCUCCUCAGAGAUCUUCAAUCUCCGACACACAGGUUGGAGAGCCAGCUACUGCCAUCGAGUCUUCUGAGGCUGAGAUCCCCAGUACGAGUGAGCCAGCUCCUCAGAGAUCUUCAAUCUCCGACACACAGGUUGGAGAGCCAGCUACUGCCAUCGAGUCUUCUGAGGCUGAGAUCCCCAGUACGAGUGAGCCAGCUCCUCAGAGAUCUUCAAUCUCCGACACACAGGUUGGAGAGCCAGCUACUGCCAUCGAGUCUUCUGAGGCUGAGAUCCCCAGUACGAGUGAGCCAGCUCCUCAGAGAUCUUCAAUCUCCGACACACAGGUAUGUCUUCAAUGGAUUUUCCCCUUGACUACAUUUCCCUAAUAAUUCAGUAUUUACAAAUGUCCUGCUUUAUUGAUAUUUGGUAUUGGCAUUUGAUGGUUCAAUUGGCUUUUCUGUAGAUCAGUGUAUCUCUGAAUGUGUGCUGCUGAACACAGUCAGGUUUUUGUGAUUAAAUGGGGUCCAGUCAGAGGGACUAAAGCAGAGUAGUUUCACACACACAUGUCAGGGGUCCUGUUGUUGUGGGGUCCACGUUACUGUGUUACUAUCACCACAUUCAACUACACUUCUUUUGGUUUUUCUGACCAUAAACUUGGUGAAGCAUCAUGUUUGACAUGUGUGCUCUAACGUUAGCUCAGUUUGCUUUGUACCAUUCAUACCAGCUGUUGGUGAGAGGUCAAUUCAUGCUCCCAGACUCCACCUACACCUCUUUUUAACUGUUUGAGUUACAUGAGGCAACAUAUUUAUAGCAGAUACCAGAGCCAACCUAACAUAUCAUAUUAAAAACGAUUAUGAGUCACAUAAACAUUAUCCAAUACCUCCUUACUCAUUGUGUGUAGGUUUUCUGUUCACGUUUAGUGUUGUUGCAUUGAAACAAUAUAUUAAUAAUGUUGAAUUAUUCUUCAGGUUGGAGAGCCAGCUACUGCCAUCGAGUCUUCUGAGGCUGAGAUCCCCAGUACGAGUGAGCCAGCUCCUCAGAGAUCUUCAAUCUCCGACACACAGCAUUUAGGUGAAACAGAGUCCUAUCUUUUAAAGAAAAAAUAUGGGAUGAUGGUUUCCCUUGUAAACUACACAGAUUCAGACGAAUCUCAGAGUCCGUCCCGAAUUGCCAUCCAUGACGAUAGCUCUCAGGCAUGGAGUCCAGGUACUGACAUUGAACUCAAAGAAGACAAAGAUAUUUUCCCAAUGCUGAGGAGGACUAAAAGCAUACAGAUGACCAGCCAGAUUGAGUUUGAUUCAGAUGAGCUCUUUGACCCCAGCUCAGCGGACAGUGGAGAGGAAUAUAUUCCUAAAACGAGUGAAGACUCUUCUGGUACAGACACAAGCGAAGUUAUUGACAUAGUCCACAAAAAAGACAGCAUGCUUGGACGCCAAUACUUUCAAAAGCUGUCUCACAUCAGUGAUGAAUGUCUCUUACCAACCCAAGUGAACAGUAGUUCUUCACAGCAGGUGCCCAAGAGAGGACGCUCCCCCUCAAGAAGAGAUAGCAAUUCCAUUAUUAAACGCAAAAGACAAUGUUUAGGCAGUGGAUCCUGUCCCACAACACGAACCAUAGGGGGUAAAUCGUUAAAACAGAGUAUAGUUGGCGACACUGGAUCCGUAUCUGAAAACUCGACACAUGAAGUUGAACCAAAUCUUCCUGAUGGGGCCUCUUCCCUUCUUACAGAAAACAAAGUAGCUGAAGGUUCACGUUCACCUUGCAUACCUGCCGUUUGUAAAAAGGAGGAUGGGUCAAGAAUGUACAACAAAAAGCAAUAUUGUUUGUACUGUAAGAUAGGAGUUGGAAAAAUAGCAAGGCAUUUGGAGCGUGCGCAUCACAAUAAGCCUGACGUUGCACAGGCUUUGUCCUUCCCAAAAGGUUCUAAAGAAAGAAGAAUGCAUUUGGAACAUUUAAGAAACAGAGGCAACUUCGCCCACAAUGUUGAGGUAUUAAAUGCUGGCGUUGGAAAUCUUGUUUCUCGCAAGCAACCCAAACAGGACUCUCAAGCACAGAAUUUCCUCCAUUGUGUUUAUUGUCAAGGAUUGUUCAACAAGAAACUCCUUUGGCGGCACAUGAAGAUCUGCAAGUUCAAACCCGAUGUUCCACAAAAACCUGGCAAAACCCGUGCCCAGGCCCUGUCUGCAUUUGCAGUACCUCCACCACCUGGCGUCAAGAUAGAGUUUUGGAAGCUGUUAAACAACAUGGUUCAAGAUGAUGUUUACAUUGCUGUCAAAUCUGAUGUAUGUAUCAUGGAGUAUGGUGAGCACCUGUAUAACAGGCUUGGAUAUGAUGUUGGCAAGCAUGAAUACAUACGGCAGAAACUGAGGGAGCUUGGAAGGCUUCUGGUAUGUUCGAGGAAAACUACUCCCUUAAAGACUAUUCAAGACCAUGUCAAACCCAUCAAUUUCUUGUAUGUUGUGCAAGCAGUCAAACAUGUGGCAGGCUUCGACAGUGAAACCAAUACAUACAAGUGCCCAAGUCUUGCCCUUAAAAUUGGACAUAGCUUGAAAAAGAUGUCAAUGCUUGUUGAAAGCCGUGCAAACGUACAGAGCAACUACUCAGCAGCUAAAGAUGCUCGUACGUUCCGCAGAGUAUAUGAAACCCGAUGGAAUGAACUGAUUUCUGCCGCAUCACUGAGAACCCUUCAGGAAUCCAAGUGGAAUGCUCCUCAGUUGCUUCCAUUUACAAAAGAUGUCCAGACUCUCCAUUCUUAUUUAGAUGUGCAACAACAAGAAGUUCACAUUAAAUUGUCUGCAGAUAAAUCUCCCCAGACAUGGUCACAGUUAGCAAAGGUCACUUUGACACAAGUCAUUUUGUUUAACCGACGUAGAGCAGGGGAAGUUUCAAAAAUGCCCCUAUCUGCAUAUUUGUCUCAAAAUCCAUCACAUCCUCAGGAAGAUGUAAAUAUUGCCCUGUCAGAACUAGAAAAGAAACUAUGUAAAUACUUCAGGAGGAUAGAGAUAAGAGGAAAGAGGGGAAGAAAGGUCCCUGUGCUUUUGACCCCAGCAAUGCAGCAAGCACUGGAUCUGCUCGUCGGCACACGGCAGGAAUGUGGGGUUCCUAAGGAGAACAUUUACUUGUUUGCGAGACCAUCUGCUUUCACCUGCUACCGCGGUUCUGAUUGCCUUCGAUACUUUGCCAAGGCCUGUGGUGCAAAGAAUCCUGAAAGUCUCACCUCUACAAAACUACGCAAGCAAACUGGAACUCUGUCUCAGGUUCUUAACCUCACCAAUACAGAGCUGGAUCUGUUGGCAGAUUUUCUCGGCCAUGACAUAAGAGUGCAUCGGCAAUUCUACAGACUUCCUGAGGGCACCCUUCAGCUUGCUAAGAUCAGCAAACUUCUCAUGGCCUUGGAGCAAGGACGCCUGGCAGAAUUCCAGGGCAAGACCCUGGAUGACAUCAGCAUUGAUCCUGAGGAGAAUGUGCACAUGGACAGCGACAAUGAGACAGCGUGUGAGUCAGACUCACAAGAGGGUCAAGUCACAUCCACUCAGAUGGAGAAUAAAACAUCAAUGAGAGAUGGGAGCAAUACAGAUGAAGCAUCGCAACAGGGCCCUAUGACACCUCCACCAGCCGCUCAACCACAGACCGAGAGAAGGCAAAAAGGUCGGCAGCCUUUCAAGAAAAAGCUGUGGGAAAAGACGGAGAUCCAAGCUGUUGAGAAGCACCUGAUGUCUUUCAUUAACACAUGUCGCGUUCCGCGGAAAAGCGACUGCGAUAAGUGUCUUAAAAUGGAAGGAGAAGCACUCAAACAAAGAAAUUGGUUGGCCAUAAAGUUUUAUAUAAAGAAUCGGAUCACAGCUCUCAAGAGCAAAAUGUAAAGUGAUCAUUGAUGUCUGUUGACACCAUUACUUUUUUUUGUAAAGUGUAAUGCUUGCAAAAGUUAAAUGUUUGAUGUAAGCCGCUAUACAAAUAUAUAGAUCAUACUUUAUUUCUUCUUUCACCCCUCAUUGAUGUCCUCUUAAUACCUCCUUUUCUUUUAUCUGAAUUAUUCACAAUUUCCUCUUCAACCUUAUCUAUUUGAUCUUCUCUUACCUCUAUGCUUUUUAAAUCUCAUCUCUUUUUUGUAAUCUUCCUUUUAUCUGAACUACCUUAUCAUCUCUUCUAGUUUCUCAUAUUAUCUUGUUUUUUUCUUAACACAAUUUAAUCUUGUCCCUUUUCACACUUUCAAUUUCCUCAUUUCUUUCAAUAUCAUCUGGAAAUACAUUAUUAUAUAUAUAUAUUUAUAUAUAUAAAUAAUAAUGUAUUCUAAUGUAUUGUAUGUAAUAAUUAAAAGUCUAAUAACGACAAUCUCCUUGUAUUUACUGGAAAGCUCUAUAAUAACAUUGUAUUGCUUAAAUGGAAAUUACAAUGACUAUUUAAGCAGAAUACCCAUAUAAGCAUGACUUGUAUGGCUCCAAUAAUUAACACUUAGAACACAAACCCCUCUUUAUUUAAAAAGAAGGAAACUGAUGCAAAUUCAGUAAAUGUACUGUGAGUCUCAUUCACGAGUUCAGACAUCCCUGUGUCACAGUGGUUAAAUAGACUAAUAAAAAGCAUUACUAUAAUAGCUUAAAUAUUAAUUAAAAUGCUAUCAGUACAUUAGAAUUCAAUAUAAUUGUGUCACAACAGAAGCUACAUGUUGACACUAAAGGUGAAAAUCCUUCUGCAUCAUGAUAGCCCUCACUUUGACAGUCAAAGGUGUUGCAUUGUUACCUAAAGUAAGUUUAGUAAUAGUGUGCUAAGUGGCCCCACUAAUGUUUUAAACCAGACAGUGUAUUUUUGGAGCCCACACAUGACUAAAAGCCAGACAGUGUGUAUAUAUGGACCCCUCCUGUAACUCUGUACCUGACAAGACCCCAUGAAACGGGUUAUAGUCCGGUCAGUGACCUCUACUUUCUCUGAUUGAUAAUUUGAAGUGAAAUCUUUGUUUGAGUCCACUUCAGGAUUCUGCCUGAUUUUUUACAGUGCUGUACAACCUUCAGAAAGGGUGGACCCCAAAAGGGAUGGUCUGGUCAGGUACCCCCAGAAUGUAAUAAAGACAAGGGGGUGUGUGUGUGUGUGUGUGUGUGUGUGUGUGUGUGUGUGUGUGUGUGUGUGUGUGU